rnacentral:rRNA from 1 species
ACUCCUACGGGAGGCAGCAGUAGGGAAUCUUCCACAAUGGGCGCAAGCCUGAUGGAGCAACACCGCGUGAGUGAAGAAGGGUUUCGGCUCGUAAAGCUCUGUUGUUAAAGAAGAACACGUAUGAGAGUAACUGUUCAUACGUUGACGGUAUUUAACCAGAAAGUCACGGCUAACUACGUGCCAGCAGCCGCGGUAAUACGUAGGUGGCAAGCGUUAUCCGGAUUUAUUGGGCGUAAAGAGAGUGCAGGCGGUUUUCUAAGUCUGAUGUGAAAGCCUUCGGCUUAACCGGAGAAGUGCAUCGGAAACUGGAUAACUUGAGUGCAGAAGAGGGUAGUGGAACUCCAUGUGUAGCGGUGGAAUGCGUAGAUAUAUGGAAGAACACCAGUGGCGAAGGCGGCUACCUGGUCUGCAACUGACGCUGAGACUCGAAAGCAUGGGUAGCGAAUAGGAUUAGAUACCCUGGUAGGAUAGCG